UAUGCGAUUACUUGGGUGAAAUGCAGAAUUCCGGGAACCCUCGAGUCUUUGACGCAGUUGCGCCCGAAGCCCUUAGGCUGAGGGCACGUCUGCCUGGGUGUCA
rnacentral:rRNA from 1 species